AUAAAAUCGAUCGGAAACCUUCGUGAACAUUCGGUUCCUGUGUGCUGAAGCGCAAGCACGAACAGUCUCGAAGAUGACGGCUUUGCAUGCAACUCAUCUGAACACCACAACAGGCGGAUGUCCCGCGGUGGCCAUUUUGCGAGUAAGAAACCACGAGCCAGUGAGGUGGUGGCCAUCUUGUACAAGGGCAACCUGAGCCAGUCAGGGUGAACUUCCCGUGAUGACCAUUUUGCACGAGCCAGUCGGGCGGAUGUCCCGCGGUGGCCAUUUUGCGAGUAAGCAACCACGAGCCAGUGAGGUAUGUACGUUUUUUAGUUUUUAAAUAUUUGAACAUCUUUGUCGCUGUGAUGACGAUUUUUCCUGCCAUUCGUAGUUUCCACCAGAGGUCAUGUGACCAAAGACGGCUUAACACUUCCUUGGAUGUCUGAGCGAACCACUGAAAUGUGACUUCUUGUCAAGUUUGUUUGCAUUAAAACUAACUUUCUCUAUCUCACUUUCCAGGCGGAUGUCCCGCGGUGGCCAUUUUGCGAGUAAGCAACCACGAGCCAGUGAGGCGGAUGUCCCGCGGUGGCCAUUUUGCGAGUAAGCAACCACGAGCCAGUGAGGUAUGUACGUUUUUUAUUUUUUAAAUAUUUGAACAGUCUUUGUCGCUGUGAUGACGAUUUUUCCUGCCAUUCGUAGUUUCCACCAGAGGUCACAUGACCAAAGAUGGCUUCAUACUUCCUUGGAUGUCUGAGCGGCACUUCUGGAUGCUCGUGUCAGUUGGGAUUUGGACAGACUGCUGAUACCUGUUUUGUCCUCUUCCCGCAGGUACAGACUACAAGCAGGCAGUGUCUGGAAGAAGAAAAAUGUUCGUUUGCUCUGUUUCUGUUGAAUAAAAUAACUUGAAAUCUUGA